AUUGAACGCUGGCGGCAGGCUUAACACAUGCAAGUCGAACGGUAACAUGGGUGCUUGCACCUGAUGACGAGUGGCGGACGGGUGAGUAAUGUAUGGGGAUCUGCCGAAUGGAAUGGGACAACAGUUGGAAACGACUGCUAAUACCGUAUAAUGUCGCGAGACCAAAGUGUGGGACUUUCGGGCCGACCAUGCCAUUUGUAUGAACCCACUAUGGGAGUUAG
rnacentral:rRNA from 1 species